rnacentral:rRNA from 1 species
AUACGGAGGAUGCGAGCGUUAUCCGGAUUUAUUGGGUUUAAAGGGUGCGUAGGCUGUGCGUUAAGUCAGGGGUGAAAUGCCGUCGCUCAACGACGGAGCUGCCCUUGAUACUGGCGUGCUGGAGUACGGAUGCCGUUGGAGGAAUGAGUGGUGUAGCGGUGGAAUGCUUAGAUAUCACUCAGAACACCGAUUGCGAAGGCAUCUGACGAAUCCGUCACUGACGCUGAGGCACGAAAGCGUGGAGAUAGAACAGGAUUAGAUACCCUGGUAUUCCACGCCGUAAACGAUGAUGACUAACCGUCGGCGAUAGACAGCCGGUGGCCAAGCGAAAGCGACAAGUCAUCCACCUGGGGAGUACGUCGGCAACGAUGAAACUCAAAUGAAUUGGCGGGG